rnacentral:lncRNA from 1 species
AAAAAACCACACACCCAACGCUUUGUGUAUUAUCUAACUUGACCCGACAUUCCUGUUCAGUCUAAUUUUGGCACCGCUUAUAGCGCCAUCCGCCAUUCCUAACCUCGGGGCUCAAGACGGGGCAUCUUGAUCGUGUAAAAGAUGAUGAUUAUCGUGGGGCCUCCGGAGGAAGUCCAGUAAUUUACUUGACAGGGAGAGAAGGUGCUCCAAAUCGCCAUACAGCACAUGGAAACACGCAAGAAACCAGUAGCAUUUAUCGCCUGCGUGUGGUCCAUUUUGAAAAGCCAUUACGAUGGAGACUAUAACUCAACCACCCAUUGCCUAAUUGCGAAUACCCAACGGCGCUUUUCCUGGGGCCAAGAUACUACGGACAGAAAAAUUGAGUAUUGACCCCUUCAAGCGCACGGGGGGGGUGGGUGGGAAAUGACAGCAUUUUAAUGUCAUGAACUGGUGGCCUUACUGUAUUCUUUUUAGCCGCAGAUUCGGUGCUUGGCCAGACAUUUGUGGCACCUUGCUGCAGGCGGCUGGCACAUCCUGGAAGGUCCAGGGUCUCUCCUCUCAGCCCCCCACCCCACCCCGGAUGGCUGCACUCCAAAUCCUCUGCCGUCACUAGAGGCCAGCAAGCCUGCUCCACAGAUCAGUGGCUCCGGACACGAGCCGGAAAGGACAUGGGCAAGGUCGUGCAUGGCUCUGCCACGUGGACAGAUCUGUGGCUGGCAGGAAUUCAGUCGGGCCGAACGCCCCGAGCAAAUCCAGUCAAUACCGACGGAGCUGUCAUCACCAUCACCCGAUAACCAGCACGCUCCUGUUCCCGCCAGGCGAUUGCAUUUCAUAUCAGCAUCCAAAUUUAGAGAGAAAAAAGAAGGCAUGUUGUCAUCAUUUAUGGUUACAUUGCCAGAAGCCCAAAAACUCCGGCUGAACUGCUGAAAAGCUCAGUGGCUUGAGGGCCUGAGGUUGGGAGUUCGAAUUCACCACUGUAGCUCCUCGGAUGGAGCCGGAUUUGACGAUCCAACUCUGCAGUUGUCUGAUGAUUU